rnacentral:rRNA from 1 species
UGGGGAAUAUUGCACAAUGGAGGGAACUCUGAUGCAGCGACGCCGCGUGAGUGAUGAAGGAAUUCGUUUCGUAAAACUCUGUUCUAUGGGAAGAAAAGGACUGUACCAUAGGAGAAAGCUCCGGCUAAAUACGUGCCAGCAGCCGCGGUAAUACGUAUGGAGCGAGCGUUGUCCGGAAUUAUUGGGCGUAAAGGGUGCGCAGGCGGCUUUACAGGUUGGAUGUGAAAUAUUGUGGCUCAACCACAAACGUGCAUCCAAAACUGCAAAGCUUGAGUUAAGGAGAGGUAAGUGGAAUUCCUGGUGUAGCGGUGGAAUGCGUAGAUAUCAGGAGGAAUACCGGUGGCGAAGGCGACUUACUGGACUUAAACUGACGCUCAGGCACGAAAGCGUGGGGAGCAAACAGG